rnacentral:rRNA from 1 species
GAUUAACGCUGGCGGCGUGCAUGAGACAUGCAAGUCGAACGGGCGACUCGGGCUUGCUCGAGUCGCUAGUGGCGGACGGCUGAGUAACGCGUAGGUGACUUGCCCUGAAGUGGGGAAUAACUGCCCGAAAGGGUGGCUAAUACCGCAUGUGGUGGUGCGUUCAAUCGCACCAGUAAAGCCGCAAGGCGCUUCAGGAGAGGCCUGCGUCCGAUUAGCUCGUUGGGGGGUAACGGCUCACCAAGGCGACGAUCGGUAGGUGGUCUGAGAGGACGAUCACCCAGACUGGGACUGAGACACGGCCCAGACUCCUACGGGAGGCAGCAGUUGGGAAUCUUGGACAAUGGGGGAAACCCUGAUCCAGCCAUGCCGCGUGAGCGAUGAAGGCCU